rnacentral:rRNA from 1 species
CCUACGUGCGUCAGCAGUGAGGAAUAUUGGUCAAUGGACGAGAGUCUGAACCAGCCAAGUAGCGUGAAGGAUGACUGCCCUAUGGGUUGUCAACUUCUUUUAUAAAGGAAUACAACGAGGCACGUGUGCCUUUUUUCAUGUACUUUAUGAAUAAGGAUCGGCUAACUCCGUGCCAUCAGCCGCGUUAAUACGGAGGAUCCGAGCGUUAUCCGGAUUUAUUGGGUUUAAAGGGAGCGUAGAUGGGUUGUUAAGUCAGUUGUGAAAGUUUGCGGCUCAACCGUAAAAUUGCAAUUGAUACUGGCAGUCUUGAGUACAGUUGAGGUAGGCGGAAUUCGUGGUGUAGCGGUGAAAUGCUUAGAGAUCACGAAGAACCCCGAUUGCGAAUGCAGCUUACUAACCUGUGACUGACAUUGAUGCUCGAAAGUGUGGGUAUCAAACAGGAUUAGAUACCCUAGUAGUC